GGCUUCGGGACCCGGUGGCCUUCCCCAGAGUAGGGACUCAGACCAGGCCUGUCGUUUCGGUGGGCACAGAGAUGAGGGUGAAGGAGACAGCUGUGGUGCAAUGGGGAGAACACAGGGUGUCUCUCGCCAAGCCAGAUCCCCUCCUGGCUGUCCCGAGGCCAGUGCAGGGCGAGGGGACAGCAGCAUAGGGUCCUCGCUGUGGGGUGAGCGGAACCCUGAGAAGCUGGGCCGACUCUCCUAGAUGGAUGUGGGGGAGCGACCUGCUGAGGUACCAGCUGAUGGCCCUGCCCAGUGCCUCCCUACCCCUGUGCCACGGCCGGCUGGGGUUCCUGGGGAUGGGAUUUGCUGCCUGUCACAAAUCACAUUGCCAGGGAUUUCCAAUCGACCCUGAGCCCAAUCUCCGGGGCUGUCACCAUCACCAGCAUCAGCACUGCCACCACCACCACCAAGGACGCUGCCAGGGGAUGAGGUGGCAGAGAGGCCCUUGCUGCCUGCGUCUGGCCUGGGCAGCAGGGCUUAGCUGCUUGUGAGCAGGGUCUGCACCAAGUCGUGUUCACAGUGGCUAAGUUCCGCCCCCCGGAGCCCUCAUCUCCUCCAGCUCUGCUGCCUCUCCCGGCCUGUGCUGCCGCCUGGCUUCCCUGGGCUCUGCCUCCCGUGCCUACUGAGCUGAAACACAGUUGAUUUGUACAGACUGGCUCAGUGCAGCAGGAACAGGAGUCAAGCCCCCUAGGAGCCUGUGGCCCCCGCCUUCCCUGGAUGGGCUGAUGCCCGGGGGAAGAGAGGAGGACCCAGAUCUACAGUUGUGUCUGGGGAGGGACUUGGGGAGGGUGGGGACGGGAUGGGGUGGGUGGACUCAGCGCCUGCUCCAGGCCCCCUCCCCCAACUCUGCUCUUGGAGACCCCCACAGUCCUCCCUCCAGCUGGGCUGUGUUCCCAAGGAGGACAGUGGGUGGCCCUUCCAUGAAAAAGGGAAGCCAGCUGUGUCUCCGCCUGGGUGACCCUCUGGGCCUGGAGCCUUGGCCCCUCCUCUCCCAAGCCUGGUGGGGGCACGGGCUGGGCCACACCUUCCCAGCAGCCAGUUACCCAAGAGGAAACUGCCGUGGGCCCUCAGACCGUUAAAUGCCAACUCCAGACUUCCGGAACCAGACUGGCCUGACGCGAACGUGCCUGACCCCUUCCACCUGGGUUCUGCAGCUUCCUGUCUUGAGGGAGGCGCCAUGACACCCACUGGCACACAAGGUGGGCAUGAGGCCCCUGUGGAGGACUGGAAGGACACGAGCAGGCCUGCUCAGUCCUGGGGUGGCCCCAGAGCAUGGAAGAGCAGCGUGAAGCUCCAGGGUGUCAGGCUGGCCCAGGGUGCCCCUUCCCCACCUCUGCCAGGGGCAGACACAGGCUUGGGGCGGUCUGUGCUGUGUGUUGUGUUUAGCGUCCAAUUAAAUAAAACCUGCCCCGCCUUAUUCCUGAA